rnacentral:rRNA from 1 species
CCUACGGGAGGCAGCAGUAGGGAAUCUUCCACAAUGGGCGAAAGCCUGAUGGAGCAACGCCGCGUGAGUGAAGAAGGUUUUCGGAUCGUAAAACUCUGUUGUAAGGGAAGAACAAGUACAGUAGUAACUGGCUGUACCUUGACGGUACCUUAUUAGAAAGCCACGGCUAACUACGUGCCAGCAGCCGCGGUAAUACGUAGGUGGCAAGCGUUGUCCGGAAUUAUUGGGCGUAAAGCGCGCGCAGGUGGUCCUUUAAGUCUGAUGUGAAAGCCCACGGCUCAACCGUGGAGGGUCAUUGGAAACUGGGGGACUUGAGUGCAGAAGAGGAAAGUGGAAUUCCAAGUGUAGCGGUGAAAUGCGUAGAGAUUUGGAGGAACACCAGUGGCGAAGGCGACUUUCUGGUCUGUAACUGACACUGAGGCGCGAAAGCGUGGGGAGCA